rnacentral:sRNA from 1 species
CGCAGAGGAGGCCCACAAACACUGCCUGCCUCACCAGGAGGGAUGGUAAGACGCUUGGCCCCUCCUUCCCUCAGCCUGACAAGGGGCAGUCCCUGGCCCUUUCCCAAAGGGACCCCAGAGAGGGGGAGGCCCAGCCCACCAUCCUGCCCGGUGGGAUUAGCUAUAUCCUUCUGCCCCCGGGACAGGAACCAUGGGAAAGCUUCCUCCUGCUGCAUCUACUCGCUCCCUCCCCACCAGCCAGGUCCCUCUGCAGUGUGUGGGGGUGGGGGCACCCAUCCCUGCCACCUGCCUGUAGUGGGAAGAGAAACAGUAACCCCAGCCAGCCUCCCUGGAGGUGCCCAGGUAGGAAGUUUUUGAUGCUUGGCUCUGAAGAUGUAAUCUUUUCUCCUGACAUUGUUGCCAGAGCCUGCCACAAAUAACGUAAGGGUGUCAGGACCUCUAGGCCACACACCAUCCUCUCCUCUCAGUCUGGAAGCCCCACAGCCUUUGCCCUCUGCAUUGGGGGACACAAACUGUUUACAGCAGGGGGGGAUCACUGACCAGCCUGUGGGGCGGGAUGUUGGCUGUGGGCAGCCUCCAGAAGGGAGCUCCCUGGGCCCCCUGGGAUCAGAAGCUUUCAGGUUUGGUAGGGCCAACCUUUUGGGCUCUUGUCUCUCAAGCUGUGUCCAGGCAGAGGCCCAAGCCUUGGCCAGGAAGUCUUGGUGACCCUGUGACCUUCCCCCAACGGGGGUUCCAGAGAGAGGCCUGUCCUUAUUCCUUUCCCCCACUUCUCCCCACAUGGUGGAUGGAUGGACUGAUUGUUCUAGGGAUGGAAGCCUAGGGAAGCACUGAUUGUCCCCAGUGCCAAGCCCAGCAGGGGCUAGAGGGGCUUUUUCUGCCACACACUAAGUUCAGUUCAGCUGAGGUCUUGGUGCUUUCGGCUUGUCCGAGGCCACACUGUUCUUCUCUAAUUAAAGACACACCCCCCUCCACCCCAACCACCAUCACCAAAGUCCCCAUCCUCAGGCCCCUGCCCUCAAGCCAGCCAAGUUCUUAGGCUGACUGGUUCAGAUCAGACUCCUCUAUGAGGGUCUCUUUGUCAAAGGAGGUCAGUGUCCUAGCUGCUUUGGGAAUCAGUGGGGGAGACCUCCCCAACCCAGGUGUGCCAGGGGGUUUAAAUUUACAUGUGAAAAGAAUGACAGGCCAACAUUAAUGACCAUCCUGUGACUUGGGAUGCACCUUCUCUUCUCAGGUUCAAAGCAGCUUAAGGUAUCUUAUCAUCUGGGAGUGCUUUCUCUCCCCAGCCUCCCUGGGAGGCAAGGAAGGGCCAUUCACAACUGAACAUUAAGGUCCUCAAAUUAAGACACUAUCCAGACUCACAAAAGAUGUUUCCACCCAACCAGAAACAGUGGACCCCUGACCCCUAGUUGAGUGCACACUUCCAACCAGGCCCCUUAAUUUAUCUCCCACCUAAAUGGCAGCUCUGAAGCUUCUGGGCUGCCAGCCUCCCAUUGCCUUGAACCCGUGCUCCUCAGAGACCAAGUGCUAACAGCUCCCCUGUUGACACUAUGGAAGCCAUGGAGUGAUCUAAUUGAUACAGGUUGCUAUAAGUCAGAGGUCAGGUGUCCUAGGGUAAGGGGAGUCCCUGGAGCAAAGUCUUCUCUGUGGCUGAUGCUCCCUGCAGGGAAAUUUAGGAGCAGAUUUCUGAAACAGUGACAUUCCUCACAGG